UGCAGUGUACCCGCGGCAAGACGGAAAGACCCCGUGAACCUUUACUAUAGCUUGACACUGAACAUUGAGCCUUGAUGUGUAGGAUAGGUGGGAGGCUUUGAAGUGUGGACGCCAGUCUGCAUGGAGCCGACCUUGAAAUACCACCCUUUAAUGUUUGAUGUUCUAACGUGGACCCGUGAUCCGGGUUGCGGACAGUGUCUGGUGGGUAGUUUGACUGGGGCGGUCUCCUCCUAAAGAGUAACGGAGGAGCACGAAGGUUGGCUAAUCCUGGUCGGACAUCAGGAGGUUAGUGCAAUGGCAUAAGCCAGCUUGACUGCGAGCGUGACGGCGCGAGCAGGUGCGAAAGCAGGUCAUAGUGAUCCGGUGGUUCUGAAUGGAAGGGCCAUCGCUCAACGGAUAAAAGGUACUCCGGGGAUAACAGGCUGAUACCGCCCAAGAGUUCAUAUCGACGGCGGUGUUUGGCACCUCGAUGUCGGCUCAUCACAUCCUGGGGCUGAAGUAGGUCCCAAGGGUAUGGCUGUUCGCCAUUUAAAGUGGUACGCGAGCUGGGUUUAGAACGUCGUGAGACAGUUCGGUCCCUAUCUGCCGUGGGCGCUGGAGAACUGAGGGGGGCUGCUCCUAGUACGAGAGGACCGGAGUGGACGCAUCACUGGUGUUCGGGUUGUCAUGCCAAUGGCACUGCCCGGUAGCUAAAUGCGGAAGAGAUAAGUGCUGAAAGCAUCUAAGCACGAAACUUGCCCCGAGAUGAGUUCUCCCUGAGACUUUAGGUCUCCUGAAGGAACGUUGAAGACGACAACGUUGAUA
rnacentral:rRNA from 1 species